GGCAUCCCAAAUUGUUGUCAGCUUCAAGGCAAGGACAAGCCAAUCUAUGCACCUCCAGUGGAAAUGGAACAUGUCCAUUAUACUCAAUGCACAAGAUAUUAGUGUUGCAGGAAGAAAAUGGACUGAUAAAAUUUACUACUGGCAUGUUGGGUACAUUGGCCAUCUUAAGGAAAGAAGGCUCAUGGACCAGAUGGAAAAAGACCCAACUGAAGUGAUGAGGGCUCCACAAAGUACAUAGCAGAGUAGCUAUUUGGAAUGCCAGGUCUUCCUCUGUAGGAUGUUCAUUGUGUUCUGAGGGAAAAUGGGUGAGUUCAGGUGAUGUAUAUUAAGCGCAACAGAUGAAGGAGGGUUGAGGGCAUGAAGAUAAGUAGAUGCGGCCCAGUGAGCGUCUAUGGAGGUUCUUAAUGAGCACUUCCUCUAAGAUGCUUUCAGGUUGUUGAUUCUUUUGUACUGUUGUUUUAAGAGGCCAUAAAAAUAAGUCUUGACAGCCCUGACCUCCAGGUUUAUAUGAAAAGCAAAGUGGGGUUUUUAUAUGACUCCAGGUCCAAGCUAAGCACAUCAGUUUUUGUAGUUGAGAGGAUAAGAGCUUUACUGGUUGUAGCUGCUCGAGUUUUCGAGCCUUUGCUAAUUGCAAUUUUUGUUGUUCAUUUUUUUAUAGAUUUACAAAACUGUAGCCCAUCUACAAGCCACUGGAAGUAUGAGAAAUUACUACAAGGUCUUGUUGCUGCCAUGUCUAAUUUGGGGUUUAGUACAUUCAUAGUACGUUGUUAGUGCAAAUCAAGUCUGGCAAUAUAAGAAAUAAAGAUAUAUAGAGCAUGUGUAUGUUUUCAGUUACAGUAGCUUAUGAAUGCAUAUCUCUGAGAUCUUCUAUUCAGCAAAUGAUCCCUCCAAAUUAGCUGAUUAGGUUAGAAGUUUACCUAUUAGCCAAGUGAACAUUUUCGGCAUUUUUUAUUAGGAAUAAAUGGAUAGGUAUUGAUUAGACCUGCGCGUUCCUCACAUUUUAGACACUCAUUACAUUAUUUCCUUGUGUUUCUCCCUUUUUUUAAGAUUCUGUGUACCUAAUGUCUCUCGUGCACGAAACAAAUAUUGCUGUAUGAAUUUGUGCUUGGUGUAUGGAUGUGAACCUAAUGUUUUCUUCUACUAUUUGAUUUGAAAAUCUUCUCUUAAUUUUGAAGGUUAUAUUAAUAUUUCAAUUUGCUACUCAUUCUGAUCCAACGAAACUAAACCAGUGGGAUUGAAGUUGUCAUUCAUGUCAGGCGCUCUUGCAAACCCACUAUCCCCUACCAAGGAUCCUAUCGGAAGGAUUGAUCGUGGUGCCAUUCAGAAUUUCUACUUUGUAAAGUUCUUUUAUUUUUAUCUCGAGUUCGUAUUAAAUGGUGCUUCUCACAUCGAUCAUAUAGUGUCUAUUAUUUUGCAAGAACUCUGUACACAAACAUAUCAACAGUAAUAACCAUCAACCAUUCUCAUGUUAUGAAUUGCUUUGAUAGCA